GAUUCCAGGGCAAGGGAGAAAGUAUGCCAGCGAAACGCAUCCUGGGUAGUAAGUCUGUCCUUUGAGGCCAAAGCAGCUGUCUGAAGCAGUAGAGUCCUACACUCUGUUUUCAGGAUCCCUUGCCUACCGCACAAUGAAGACUGAAACCCUCUUCUCAGAUCAUGCAGAGAUGUUUUUGAGAAGCUGGUCCAAACUGACUCUGUUGAUCUGGAGGGGUGUUCCUGCCUCUGGAUACCGAACAAUGUUUGGGACAAAAUGAAUGUGAAUAACAAACACCUGGAACACCAAAGUCUUACACAACCACAAGAGAGCACUAUGGCAGGACAGAGAGAGAAGACUCUGACCACAAGUUCACCUUCAGGUUGGCGAUAUUUUCAUGUGUGAAAGGAUGCCAGCAUCAA